GAUGAAGAACGUAGCGAAAUGCGAUACUUGGUGUGAAUUGCAGAAUCCAGUGAACCAUCGAGUCUUUGAACGCAAGUUGCGCCCGAAGCCACUAGGCCGAGGGCACGCCUGCCUGGGCGUCACACGCCGUUGCCCCCCCAUCUACUCCUUCGGGAUUGCGGGGGGGCGGAUGAUGGCCUCCCGUGCGCCUAGCCGCGCGGUUGGCAUAAAUACCAAGUCCUCGGCGACGCACGCCACGACAAUCGGUGGUUGCGAAACCUCGGUUGCCCGUCGUGUGCGUUCGUCGCGCAUCGAGGGCUCGAAAAAAUGCUCGGCUCCGGCUGGGCUUUCAACGCGACCCCAGGUCAGGCGGGGUUACCCGCUGAAUUUAAGCAUAUCAAUAAGCGGAGGA
rnacentral:misc_RNA from 1 species